UGAGGGGGGCUGCUCCUAGUACGAGAGGACCGGAGUGGACGCAUCACUGGUGUUCGGGUUGUCAUGCCAAUGGCACUGCCCGGUAGCUAAAUGCGGAAGAGAUAAGUGCUGAAAGCAUCUAAGCACGAAACUUGCCCCGAGAUGAGUUCUCCCUGGCUCCUUGAGAGUCCUGAAGGAACGUUGAAGACGACGACGUUGAUAGGCCGGGUGUGUAAGCGCAGCGAUGCGUUGAGCUAACCGGUACUAAUGAACCGUGAGGCUUAACCUUACAACGCCGAAG
rnacentral:rRNA from 1 species